rnacentral:rRNA from 1 species
GAUGAACGCUGGCGGCGUGCCUAAUACAUGCAAGUCGAGCGAACGGACGAGAAGCUUGCUUCUCUGAUGUUAGCGGCGGACGGGUGAGUAACACGUGGAUAACCUACCUAUAAGACUGGGAUAACUUCGGGAAACCGGAGCUAAUACCGGCUAAUAUUUUGAACCGCAUGGUUCAAAAGUGAAAGACGGUCUUGCUGUUACUUAUAGAUGGAUCCGCGCUGCAUUAGCUAGUUGGUAAGGUAACGGCUUACCAAGGCAACGAUGCAUAGCCGACCUGCGAGGGUGAUCGGCCACACUGGAACUGAAACACGGUCCAGACUCCUACGGGAGGCAGCAGUAGGGAAUCUUCCGCAAUGGGCGAAAGCCUGGCGGAGCAACGCCGCGUGAGUGAUGAAGGUCUUCGGAUCGUAAAACUCUGUUAUUAGGGAAGAACAUAUGUGUAAGUAACUGUGCACAUCUUGACGGUACCUAAUCAGAAAGCCACGGCUAACUACGUG